UUACGGUCAAAUCACGCUGAAACACCGGUUCUCAUAUGAUCACUGAAGUUAAGCAGCGUAGAGCCAGGUCAGUACUUAGAUGGGGGACCGCUUGGGAACACCUGGUACUGUAAG
rnacentral:rRNA from 1 species